rnacentral:lncRNA from 10 species
CAUUUACAUAUAGAUUUACCUUUCUUAAGUCUAGCUGAUGGGUUCUCAAACUUCAAUGUCAAUAAGAACUACUCUGCAGGACUGGAUACAAGAAAAUCAACUGUACCAUAUUCUGAUAGGUGAUGGCUCUAUACUGGCCAAAGCCAGAUGGAAGCUGGAGGGCAGGAGAGUCCACUGAAACAAUUCACAUGCAGUCCUUGCAGUCCAACCUCCCUGAGAAACAGAGGAUGGAGAAGGGUGAAGAAUGGCUGUACAGGGCUAAUGGAUGAAGCCAGGGUUUGAGUUUAAGCAGUCUUCCUGCAGAAUCUCGCUUUUUAACCUCUCUGCUAUGCAACUUGGAGUGAGGAUGUUAUACUUGUUGGAACAGGUAGCCCCCAUAACAUGUGGGACCUCUCUACUGUGGGGU